UACGUAGGGCGCAAGCGUUAUCCGGAAUUAUUGGGCGUAAAGAGCUCGUAGGCGGUUUGUCGCGUCUGCCGUGAAAGUCCGGGGCUCAACUCCGGAUCUGCGGUGGGUACGGGCAGACUAGAGUGAUGUAGGGGAGACUGGAAUUCCUGGUGUAGCGGUGAAAUGCGCAGAUAUCAGGAGGAACACCGGUGGUGAAGGCGGGUCUCUGGGCAACAACUGACGCUGAGGAGCGAAAGCGUGGGGAGCGAACAGG
rnacentral:rRNA from 1 species